rnacentral:rRNA from 1 species
CGGCGGACGGGUGAGUAACGCGUGGGUAACCUGCCUCAUACAGGGGGAUAACAGUUAGAAAUGGCUGCUAAUACCGCAUAAGACCACGGUACUGCAUGGUACAGUGGUAAAAACUCCGGUGGUAUGAGAUGGCCCCGCGUCUGAUUAGGUAGUUGGUGAGGUAACGGCCCACCAAGCCGACGAUCAGUAGCCGACCUGAGAGGGUGACCGGCCACAUUGGGACUGAGACACGGCCCAA